GUGGACGGCUGUGCCAGUAACCCUUGUCAACAUGGAGGCGUCUGUGUUAACCAACAAGAUGGCUACGUGUGCGAAUGCCCUGCUGGGAGAAAAGGAACACACUGUGAACAGGUGGUAGAAGAGUGCAGCAGCGCCCCCUGUCUGAAUGGAGGCAGGUGUGUAGAAGGUCAUGACCUCCCAUCGUGGCUCGUACUCAGGCAUCGGGGCUACUUCUGCGAGUGCCCGAGAGGCUGGGAGGGGGGCAACUGUGAACAAGCAAUCAGUGCAUGCGCCAGCAGUCCUUGUCAGCACGGUGGACAGUGUACGGACAGCGGUGACAGCUACUCCUGCGACUGUCCACAGGGAUACAGCGGAGACAGCUGUCAGAUAGACAUCAACGAGUGCCGGAGCAAUCCGUGCCAAAAUGGUGGCAACUGUUUGGAUAAAAUCAACGGCUAUGAAUGUUCGUGUCAGCCUGGAUGGGAGGGGAGGAACUGCG